rnacentral:snRNA from 1 species
GCACUUACCUGGCAGGGGAGAUAAUAUGAUCACGAAGGUGGUUUUCCCAGGGUGAGGCUUAUCCAUUGUACUCCGGAUGUUCUGACCCCUGCAAUUUCCCCAAAUGCGACUGCAUAAUUUGUGAUAGUGGGAUACUGCAUUUGUGCUCUCCCCUA